ensembl:lncRNA
UUAAACAUGAGACAUAAAGCACAAAUUCAUUAUAACACCAUUUACCAUUUACACAGUUCCAUUUACAACAAUGCUUUGUAAUGCUUUGCAAAAUCCGGUUUACUUCACACACUUACUGAUCUGACAUCCAUGUAAAACAUAAACACUGCUUCUCUCUUAUGAUCAACUCGGAAGAUUUACAGUCACUAAGAAAAUCUGGAGAGAAAUUAUGGAAGACCAAAUCCAUUAUUAUCACACCACACCCGAACAGUGCAAAGCUGCUUCCACCUCACUCCCUCAAAGAUACUGUACGUUGACAUACGAGAAGGACGGAGAGGAAACGUGUUCUUCUGCUGAUCAUAGAUAGAAUGUGCAACGGUUAUGGCAACUCCUUUAUGUUCCAAGCUCAGUAAAGCACGAAGACAUGCAGAAUUGAUGGCUAUAUUAGAAACAUGUGGGGCGAACCUGGAAGACGUGGUAUGUGCUCACAAGCUUGUCUAUUCUCCUCUUGGAGAGUUGUUCAGAGACCUCUUGAGACCUCAGAUCUGAAGGUCUAGAGGAGGACGACAUUUGAUCUAGUGGAGGAAAAGCAGAAUAUUCUCCAUCAAAACUCUUCUCUUCACAUUUUAACACCAACUUUGAUUGCACUCACAAUCAAUGGAUUUAUGUUUUUUACAGAGGCCAAAACUCACGUGGAAUAACAAUAGGAAGAGUAAGACUUUAAUCCAUAUCCUGGAGGAGAACAUCUACGUGGAGGUAAUCAGUUCUUGGUGCUUUUCGGUCCCACGAUAAAAUACAGGAAACUCAACAGCUGGAAAAAAUGAUUUCUUGAGCUGUUUAAAACCUGGCCUGAUUCAGCUGUAACAUCACGGGAGAAGAGAGGAGAGUGUGUUGCCAAGGAACUGUUCCCCAAUCACAUGAGUCACUCAGAGACAUGAAGUUAUUGUGAGAUCUGAACCAAAAGAAUUGGAAAAUGCGUUACAAAUAUUAAAAGCGUUACUCACAAAACUCAUGCAUGUUAAAUGUGUGCGGCUGUAUGGCGAUCUGAGCGGCCUUCUGUGUGGCUUGAUUGUCAUCUCUUUUUGGAUUUACACACGUGUACUAUAUACUAAAUUACUGUUUCUGUCAUUAGCUUUCUGUGCUGCUCUGGAAAAAAGGCUUUUCUUGUUGCCAAAAACCUGCAACUGGAUGUGCUUGAAGACGAACAAGAAAACCAAAUGUGAUCCAGUUGGUUGAUCAAUCUUUGUUUUUGUGGACAGAAAUAGUCUGUCCACAAAAGCGUCUGCCUGAAAUCCAAAUGACUUUCGGCAAAUCUUGAAUUGAAUUUGAAUGAAGCAUCGUGACAACUUUUGUGGAACAAUUUUGUGGAAAAGGCAACAUCUAAUAGAUACAUCUUCCAACUUUGUAUUGAUGGACAGAGAAGACGUCCUGUGACUAUUCAGCUGACAUUUUCCUCAAUGCAUAAUCAUACUAGAAAGGAUAUACUGGAGAGCGUUGUAUGAUGAGGAAAACUGUGGCAGGUUGUAAAACAGAGAAAGAAAUUAAGCAGCCAAGAACAACAAGUACAGAGCGACCCGACAAACCUUUGCUGGAACUACACACCGCUCAUGUAAAGUGAUGCAACGCACCCAUUAACGCCAAAACGCUAUUUAAAUGGGCAACAUCUAUAUAUACGGAGUCAACACAACACAAACUUUAUGGAGCUUUGCUAUAAACAGAAAUCUCAGACAUAUUUUUGAAAGGAUACUUAAUAGAAACAUUUGGUUUAGAAUCUUAAUCAACAAACAUGUUGCAACAUUUGUAUUUACUCAAACAUGAUUUGAGACAAAACAAUCUGGAUAAACUACAUAAAAAGAUCUAACUAGAUGAUCAUGGGAUAUAUUAAUUACACAUGGUUAAUCAUUAGAGGACAUUUUUUUUCCUUAAUAUAUACAAAAUACAAUUUGCAACCAAACCAAAGUACAAAAAGCUCUCAGCGACCUCAGAGGGAAAGAGAUUGUGUAAUCUGGUGUUUUUCUGAGAUGAAUGACAUCACUAUAGGAGCUCUUUCCCUCAUCACUCACUACUUUUCAAACAGGCCACAGUCACACAACUCAAACACGUCGGACAGUGACAUUUAUUAUUAUUAUUAUAUCAUUCACUCACACAAUAACCUUUUCUCAAGUGCUUGAGUUUUCCAAAAGUAGUGUGAGAUGUGUUAAAGCCGGUCAUUUAUAAGUGUGCUUGGCAUUCAUCUGUGGAAGUGAGGACAUGUUUCUUCAACUAUAAAAUGUCAAACGAUCUUCUGCUUGUAAUUAGUGUGCGAAGCCUGUUUUGAAUUACGGGUCUUUUGGAAAAUUCUAGGCUAUAAUAUUGGCACGCUGAUAUGCGUGAGUGUUACACGCCGGCUACAGAGGUUCAUUCUGCUGUUUGUCCUCUUCGAAUCAACAUCUGCUUCCAAUCUGAGAAACAAUGUAGGCUACUGGAUGGAGACAGACAGACAAAAGCCGAUCUGCUGGGAAAUGAACACAGUUAUAUUAUUUGAUGCAUAUCAUGUCUGGGAUCUUAUUCCAGAAAGGGUACUAAAAAUGUUCUACUUUAAACUCAAGUAUUUGUUUUUGCUGUACUCUUCUUGUGUUUGAUAAACCAAACUAUCAGUUGCAGUACCGUAGUUUGGCAUGUGAGAGAGUAAUGAACUCUGACACGAGGCAGAGUGUUCAUUCUCAAUGUCUUUUUUCCUUCACUUUUGUCUCUCAUUCAACUGUAAAUUAUUGAGCCAACAGAAAAAAAAUCCCGAACCAGGUAACAUGUUUGCGUCCUUUAGUCAUUGAGCCAUUACAAUUGUUCAUUUCGCAAUAAGUUGUCUAUUAUUUGCAAUUCAUCAAAUUCAUUCUGUAUUUAUCAUUUUUAAAAGCUCAGUGAAACAGGCUCACUAUUGUUUGGCCGACUGUCGGUGUGUGAUGAGGAUUGAUCUGUGACCGCUUUGUGAUUAUAAUACAAACACAUUUAUACACGUCACUUUGCUUAUAAAUAAAACGGUCCAUAAUUCAUUUAAAAGUCCAAGACCCUUCUCAGUAGAGGCAAACACUAAACACUUUCUUUUGCAUGCAUGUUUAGUGCAAACAGGGACCCUGAGAAUGGGAAAACCGAGUACACACACACACACACACACACACACACACACACACACACACACACACACAUCCUUACCUAUGCGCUACUUUAGAUUUACUUUAGCUUGUGUGAACAACCAAUACUUCUGACCCUCAGUGACAAAUAAGAGGCAAAAUUUAAAGUGUUCAGGCAGCUUCAUUGCCUCUGAAACAAACAUUUUAUUUUUUUGCUAACCUUCCUCUAUUUCUUCCUUUUUCUGUCUCAAUGCAAGUCGUAAUCUUCUACGCAACUUUUUACACAUUCGUGUAUAGAUUGCUUACAUGUAAUUCAUAUAUUUCCAUGUGUUUUCCCAUCCAGGUCACAAAUAGCAGCUGCUGCUCUCUAGUGGCGAUCUAGUGUGAUCUCCACACACCCAAGCGACUUAGAAAAUAUGUCAGGUUGUCAUUAUUUUAAUGCCAACACUUAAACGUCGUCCAUGCUUGUGGCUACAAACAUAACAUUGUUAUUAUUUCCUAUUAAUGUCUAGAAAGAGUGUGGUUAAUAUGUAAUGCUCUCUAUUUUGUGCAAGAAGACAAGUGUUAAUGCCUUCUUUAUUUAUUGGUAAAACACAAUGAUUUAACUCUAAUCUUUCUGCAACAGGAUGUUUUUUAGGUGGGAAUUCUGUCAAAACUAUUAAAAAUUGGAACAUCAAACUCUUGUAUUUGGCCAGCAGGUGUCCCUGUUUGGCAGUAGGUUUCCUGAAUGAGCAAUGACAGUUUAUAUGAGACACAUCGGUCAAGAAUGAAGAUCUCUCCUCAGAGCCGAGGUGAAAACCAAAGUGAAUCCACACAGCCAGCCAGAUGUUCAGUCAAGGGAACAGAGCCACAUUAAAACAUAAUGGCUUUUAAAUGUUAAUAUGCCCAACUUUAAAGGUCAAAACUGGCAUAGCCCACGAGUGCAAAUGUUUUCAGAGGAGAUGUAUUUGUUAAACAUUCAAGUGCAUCAGAAUCCAUCAUUAUUGUCUAAAAAAAGGCCGCAGUCAUCUGCCUGUACCUCUCCGGGACGGAAAAAAUGACGUGGAACAGCCAUUGUCUGUUGAGAUAUAAGAGAAGAAUGAUAACCUGUAAAUGUGUGCGUUCUUGGGAGGACAAAUUAAAUCCUCUAUCAUCCGUGUGUGUGCGUGUUCCCCCAGGUGUGAACGUGCCAUCCACUCCCGGUAAUGGAUGUAAUUAACCAGUCACUGAAGCAUAAAGUCUUUACAUACUGUAAGUAAUAGUCAUGUUUGAGAAAAUCACCUGGUAAUGGGCAAUUCUCCUCCCAGCAAGGACAAUUAAUGCCUCAUCUGGCUUUUCUUAAUUAUCCAAUUAAAGCUAGAUCCUCUGCAUGAAAUUCCACCGUAUCCUGGAGUGAUUUCAGCGGAGAGAAGAGGUGGAGGAGCUUCAGCUAAAUUAAAUGAAUGGUGAAUGAGAAGUGAACGGGAAAAAUAUAUCGUGAAAUAUAUACAUAUGUAUAUAUAUAUACAGUAUAUAAACGGUGAUGCAUGUCUUCUACAGGCAAUAACAGAGCAAAGGUGAGGGACUUAGAAGAUCCCACAUGUUUUGGCAGCUUGUUACCAGCUUGGAGGCAAAGUGCGGCCCCUGUGUGUCAGUGAUAAUAGAUGAGCAUGGGAAUUGCAGGGCAGGAGCCAGUCUGCUGCGGGGCCGAGGUGUUCGAGGGCUGGAUGGACUGGAGGGAUGCACCUGUGGCGCUGAGAGAAGUGUGAGGAGAGGAGCAGCUGGCAGACAACAGUUCACGUUCAGACGCUCAGGAGCUAAUGAUGAAGCUCUCCAUGUCACAUUUCACGCUCGACAGGAAGUGGGGGCCACUCUUUCAAACGAGUGUUAAGACAGAUAGAUGAGGAGCUGUGGUAGAAAAUCGAAGGGGUCAGUGCUGCUUUAAGCUCUGCCCAGGUGAUUGAUAUCUUUAUCAAACCAUUCAUGCGUGAAACCUUUACCUCACUACUCAGCAAUCUAUGUUUUGUAUGAUAUUCAUCACUUAUCUGUUUGUGUUUUUAAGCUGCUCGGUUUGGAUACACUUUUCUUCCCCUCAUUUCAAGACAGUAAUCUAUUAUGGAUUUUGUCCACAUUCUUUUGUUUCCUUUGUUUCUUCGUGUCUUUUAGAUUUUCCACAUCAAUAAUACAAAUAGAACACACCAUUUGUGUUGUUUUGCUUUUUCCUUGUGAUCCAGGCCCCAUAAUGUAAACGACUGAACAACAUACAUACUGAUGUAUUUGUCCUAACAUUUAUUUCUCCCCCCCGUUUCUCCCUCUGACGAGUCCGUCGUCUGUAAACGCGUCGGUUUCUGCUUGUGUGUGUGUGUGCGUGUGUGUUUCUGUCCUCCCUGUGGGCCGUUAGCUCUGCUGUGCGUCUGUCACAGUCCCCGCAGUGAGCUGCAGACACCGAGGAGAAAGAGAACCAGGCCAUCUGGACCGGGUCACACUGUACCAGCGACCACACGAGACGCAGCCAGAACUCCUCUCCAAACCAUAGCAACCGUCCGGGGGGGAAGAAAUAAGGGCAGCGGCCAUGGGAACGUUUCCCCUCUCUACUUACAGUUGCGCUCUUUCUUUCCGUACGCCCCCCUUCUACGCCUCUUCUUUCUGGAUCUCCCUCUUUCUUCACACCUCUUGAGAUAACUAUGCUAACAUGAGUUGAUAAAUCCUUUUUUUGUGCCCCCCCCCCAACCCGCCUCCCCUUCCCAUUUAUUCACGCUUUGUCUUUGCACCACUGGCUUUGCUUCAUUCAAGAGGAAAGCGGCGUAUCUGCAGCGGGCAAACCAGAGCCUUUUGUUCUUGAUUUGAAAGAGCCUGCUUCCAGUCUGACAAUUGGCAGCAUACCGAUAGGGGACAAACAGCAGUGUGUGCACAUUCACCGACACACAAUUUCAGAGCAGAUACACGCUCGUCGCACACACACACAUACUGGGAGAGAUCAACUUUGCUCCUGCUUAGUUCAAGUGUCUGUCAGGGAGGACAACAAAGCUUUACCAGGGGCGACACAAAACCAACAAUUCACCUUUUUAAACAAGCAUUUCCAUAACAGUGGAACAGUUGCUGGUACAAUAAAGUACACUUCUUUUCCCACUCUGGCAUUGUGGUGGUGUCUGCCUGCUAUGAAUACUGUGUUGUGUUUUGUGUUUGACCCUCUUGACCUGCUUUUUUUUGGGACCAGCAUCCCUCCUGCCCCCCUUUUCAAUGCUUUGAGUAACUCCCUACAGUCCAUGGGAUUCCCCCAUGUGAACAUCUCACUGUGUCCCUUCCUCCCUCAGUGUGUAAGAUAAUGAACUCUCAUAACAAGCGAACCUCUUUUAGACACUUUCCAUCCAUCCUUGCCAUGCAACAGAGAGGCACAGCGUGUGGUGGAGGAAGGGGGAGGGAGGCAGGAGUAAAGACUGGCUGUAAUAUCAUGGAGACAGAGAUGAAUGCCUUUGGACUGCACUGUGCUGCCCUACUUUCAUCUUGGUAAUGGACGAGGUUAAGAUACAUCUCCAGCAGACGAAAAAGGAAAACGUCUCUUUUUUUCCCCCGCCUGCCCGAGCCGAGGCUGCCAUUGAUCCACCUCUGGCCAGAGCAAGUCUAUUAUCUUGAAGAUUACUUUUGAAGCUUUUCAUUUUGUUCUUGUGCCUGUGGAUCAGCCGCGCUGUAUGUGCAAUGAUUCAGUGCCCUGCAGCCGUGCAGCCGCAAGUCUGACCUGGAAGCAGCGUAGACGUCGGCCUCAACCAUCAACCAGCCUCCUAUUCUCACUCACUCUGACCUCGGACCUCUAACCUGUCCUGUAUUAACAAGUCACUGUCGUUAUUUCCUACCUCAACCUCAUCU